rnacentral:lncRNA from 1 species
UCUCCCACCCUUUCCCUCCCCACCUCCGCUUUAGACUGUGAAUCGAGCAACGAUUUUUAAAGAAAAUGUUUAUUCGCCUUUCUUUUAGGCAGAGCUGGUGCACGUUCGGAGCUCUGUAUUUUGCGGAAUCACACUGAGACUUGCUGCUUCGAUGACUGCUAAAAUGUAGCGUCACCUACCAGGUGUCUU